rnacentral:rRNA from 1 species
CCCUUAUAUGUCCUGGGCUGCACGCGCGCUACACUGGAAGUUACGGAUUGAGAUACUACCUUGUCCGAAAUGGUCCGGGUAAUCACCUAAAAGCUUGUCAUAAUUGGAAUGGAUUAUUGUAACUAGUAAUCCUGAACGAGGAAUUCCUAGUAAGUCCCAGUCAACAGCUGGUACUGAUUACGUCCCUGCCCUUUGUACACACCGCCCGUCGCUACUACUGAUUGGACGUUUAAGCAAGAUUUUUAAACACUGACAGUGUGUAGUUCACGCUAUACUACAGUGAGAAGAAGAAGAUCGAGCUUACUUGUCUAGAGGAAGUAAAAGUCGUAACA